rnacentral:lncRNA from 1 species
GUUACAACUCAGACUCAAAGGGCUGGAUUUGUGCCUAGUGAGUGAAAACCGGCACGAGAUGUGAGUCAGUCAACAUCCCUCUCGAGCUGAAUGCUACCGUCGGAGUCCCAGUCUGGCUCUCCCGGUCCAGAGAUCUGUUUCACAGGAACCUGAAAACCUGCCAAAUCCAUCACCCGUGAUGAGCAGGUGAGCUGAGGAGUCCCCUGAUUUAUGUCAAACCAUCCUAGGGGCAGAGCUGCCUUGCAAAGGACUGUCAGAACCGAUCAAUGAAUAAAUGAAGUCACUGACCAGGGGGACAGCUCACUCUCUUCUUUUUUAAGGGAUUUUGUAAUGAGAGAAAUCACGAAGAUUCAUUUCGGGGCAUGACAAUUUUAGCAUAAAACCCUUUUUCUGUACUUUUCUUGGGGCUUGGGAGGAGAGAAAAGGGAAAGCUGUAAGGCAAGGGAUUUUUUCCAAGGGAAAAUCUAUUCACCCAACUGAGGGGAGGGGGGUGAGUUUGAGAUGCUGCUCAGGGACUUUUUGAAGUUGCGCGGCCCUGAUCUGCAUGGGAAAAGACCAGACGUGUUGCACAGAUACUCAUUUGUCAACUUCCUCUGUGACUGGGCUCAAAAUGGCUGUGUAAAUAACUCAGCCAGGGAGGAUGGCAGAGCAAAGCUCUGGCAGUUAUUGUGCUAUGAAAUAUGCAUUAAUUGCAUUAAACAUUCAGUCUGAAACUCAGCAGUGAGGCCCCUUUUGUCAGUUUUUAUAGUGCACAGACAGAGAGACCAGGAUGCGGAUGGCAAUGGCCUUCUGUGUCGCCCCUGAUGCUGUAACAGCCCGUGCCUCUCCUCAGAUGUUCCAGGAGGGGUGUGCAGCUCCCUGCUCAGCAGCAUAGUGCAGAUGAGGCCAGGGUCACCAGCUCUCACCCCCCAGCAGCCCUCCACCUCUGCUCUUCUCCCUAGAUGCUGCCCACCAUGUCUUGAAUCCCAGCCAGUGAGUCAUCUCCUACAUGUGGCCGGUCACAGAGGGGCUAGGCUUGAAAAUGCCCAAUGCUGGGCUCAGCAGAGUCCGUCCCCACCAGCGGUUUGGGUUUUGUUGUGAAGUGGAUGGGAUAGUGGAGCAGGUUCCAGGACUCCAGUCUCAUCUCAUACAAUUCUGCUUCCUGCGGCUGCCUCCCUGCCCGGAGUUCUCAGACCUGCUCCCCCUCACCGUCCCACCUUUCCUUCCUUCCUCCUCUCCACACUGCCCAGCAGGGAACUGAGCAUGGGCUGGAGACAGUCGGGCUCCUGUGCUCCACGGCAUCUGGAAAUGGAGUGCAGUGCCAAGCGUCCCAGCCCCAGGCUGGCACACCAUGGCUCAUUUGGCGGGUGAUUCAGUGGAGCAGAUCUCUCAGCCUCCCCUGAUCCAGGUACUUUGUGCAUCAUCACAGACAGAGAUGGCAACACCACUGGGCCUUGGGGAUUGCCUAUCUGCCUUGGGUUAGGGGUGUGGGCUUGGGGGAAGGGGUGAUGCCUGGCUCAACUUCUCCACCCCUCCCUUGGGCACAGUGAGCCUUGGGCACCGUGCUCCCCUCUGGUGGAUGGCAGGGAAGGGGAACCCAGCUGUGGGUGUUUAGUGGCAGGCCUGGGGCCCUAGGUACCAGUAGGGUGUGUGCUUUCACAGCAGUGUCUCCUUGCCUGAGGGAGGCCAGUGUUGAAUAGCAAAUAUGAAACAGCAUGCAGGUGGAGACAGAAAGAGACAGAGAAGGGAGAGAAAAGUCCUCUGGAGAAAGCAGAAGUUUUAUAUUUUAGUUCACAUUUAACAACACCUGUUUUCUCCUUUUGGAACAAGGGACUCCUCCUUUGG